rnacentral:rRNA from 1 species
GUGCCAGCCGCCGCGGUAAUACGAAGGGUGCAAGCGUUACUCGGAAUUACUGGGCGUAAAGCGUGCGUAGGUGGUUCGUUAAGUCUGAUGUGAAAGCCCUGGGCUCAACCUGGGAAUUGCAUUGGAUACUGGCGAGCUAGAGUGCGGUAGAGGAUGGCGGAAUUCCCGGUGUAGCAGUGAAAUGCGUAGAGAUCGGGAGGAACAUCUGUGGCGAAGGCGGCCAUCUGGACCAGCACUGACACUGAGGCACGAAAGCGUGGGGAGCAAACAGGAUUAGAAACCCCCGUAGUCC